rnacentral:tRNA from 3 species
GGGAAGAAAGCAUACAUGCGGUUAACUUGAAAUUAAUAGAUGGCAGGUUUAGUUCUGCCUUUUCUCG